UACGUAGGGAGCAAGCGUUGUCCGGAAUCAUUGGGCGUAAAGCGCGUGUAGGCGGCUUGGUAAGUCUGCUCUGAAAGCCCGGGGCUCAACCCCGGGAGGCGGGUGGAUACUGCUGAGCUCGAGUCCGGAAGAGGCGAGUGGAAUUCCAGGUGUAGCGGUGAAAUGCGUAGAUAUCAGGAAGAACACCCGUGGCGAAGGCGGCUCUCUGGGACGGUACUGACGCUGAGACGCGAAAGCGUGGGGAGCGAACAGG
rnacentral:rRNA from 1 species